rnacentral:lncRNA from 1 species
GGAGGGUGAGGGCUCCAGCAUGGCAGGCUGCAGGUCCCGAGCCCUGCCCCCUUGCCCCGCGGGGAGGUGGCUGAGGCCCAGCGAAAAUUCGAGCGCGGCGCCGGCGGGCCAUCACUGUUGGAGGACCCAGUGCACCCUCCGCAGCUGCUGGCCCGGGUGCUAAGCCUCUCACUGCCCAGGGCCGGCGGCGCCAGCCGACCGCUCAAGAGUGCGGGGCGCGCCGAGCCCGCGCCCACCCGGAAGUCGCGCCGAGCCCGCGCCCACCCGGAAGUCGCGCUGGACCUGCGAGCCCCGCAGGCAGCCCAGGUUCCGGCCCGCGCCUCUCCCUCCACACCUCCCCGCCAGCAGAGGGAGCCCGCUCAGGCCUCAGCCAGCACAGAGAGGGGCUCCCACGGUGCAGCUGCGGGCUGAAGGGCUCCUCAAGCGCGGCCAGAGUGGGCUGAGGCCGAGGAGGUGCCGAGAGCCAGCGAGGGAUGCCAGCAAGCUGUCACCUCUCAGAAAUACAGGAAGAACAUCAAUAAUGUUCGAAGUUAUAAAGUAGUAGGUUUCUAUCAAGAGUAAAACAUAAACGAAGUUAUAAAGUAGUAGGUUUCUAUCAAGAAUAAAACAUAAACGAUCAAAGAAUUCCUUAUAAAAACAUUUUUUAUUUCUAGGAAUCAAAACAUAAAUAUAAAAUUUGAGAGUCCACCAAAAAAAAUUAGAUGCCAGAUUUCACUAUAAUUAUCAGGGAAGCGCCCAAAUGGGUUGUUUACGGCGCCUCGGGGAAACUUUCUGUUUCGUGUUAAGGGUCUUGAACCAUGAUGUUUAGAAAACCAUGGGCUGAUGCUUUCAGAACCUCUGUGAUUUUUGCCUCCGACACUGCAUCCAAUAGACUAGCAUGUUGAUUAGGGAAAGCUAAAUUCAAUAAAAGACGACUGUAGGUGGGGUCACCACCUUGAGGGGUCAUGUUAGAAAAGUAGAUGAUAAGGUGGUAUUGAUAGAGUAUUGAAGUCUGGGCUCAAAUGGUUGCCCGGGGCCUUUCAAGACCAAUGACUGAUAAGAAUAGGUAAUGUUCAGGACAUAGAGUUUAGGAUUGGGGGACACUGUGAGUUAAGGGCCAUGACAGAAGUCUUCAUAAGUAAACUGUUAAUUGACACAAGCUGCUACCUGCCCAGGCUGGAAUGCACUUGGAUGCCAGAGAUUUUGAUUUCUUCAUGUGAAAUAAGUUGCGGAGGUCAGAGGUCAGAAAACAAGGUGUCUGCAGGACCAACCUCUCCUCUGGAUGCUCUAGGUGAGAAUCUUUUCCAUGCCUUUCUCUUAGCUUCUGAUGUUGCCAUCAGAACUUCAGAUGGUGUUCCUUGG